AGGGUGCCCUCGCGGUCCCGAUUCUCAAACCACUGUUUACCAAACGUUUCGUUGCCUCGGCGGGCCGGCACCGGCUCGACUGGCGCCCCUCCUUCGGGAGGAGCAGCCCGCCGCAGGACACUACAAAACCAUUCUGUUCGAAGAACGUCUGAUUUUACCUUCGCGAAUGCGAUAAAUACAACUUUCAACAAUGGAUCUCUUGGCUCCAGCAUCGAUGAAGAACGCAGCGAAAUGCGAUAACUAGUGUGAAUUGCAGAUUUCAGUGAAUCAUCGAGUCUUUGAACGCACAUUGCGCCUCUUGGUAUUCCUCGAGGCAUGCCUAUUCGAGCGUCGUUUCGACCCUUAAGCGCAAGCUUAGUGUUGGGGACCGCCCCUGAAAUACGGAGGCGGCCCUUGAAUCCAUCGGCGGUGCCGGUGCAGCCUGGAGCGCAGCAGCAAUGCAGCUUUGAGCAGCCCGAAGCCAGCCGGACAAACGAAACUUCAUUUUUCUCACGUCGACCUCGAAUUAGGUAGGGAUACCCGCUGAACUUAAGCAUAUCAAUAAGCGGAGGAAAAGAAACCAACAGGGAUUGCCUCAGUAACGGCGAGUGAAGCGGCAACAGCUCAAAUUUGAAAUCUGGCUCCUUUGGGGCCCGAGUUGUAAUUUGUAGAGGAUGCUUCGGCGUCGGCGCCGCCCAAAGUUCCUUGGAACGGGACGUCAUAGAGGGUGAGAGCCCCGUGUCCGGGUGGAUGCCUUCGCCAUGUGAAGCUCCUUCGACGAGUCGAGUUGUUUGGGAAUGCAGCUCAAAAUGGGAGGUAAAUUUCUUCCAAAGCUAAAUACCGGCUGGAGACCGAUAGUGUACAAGUAGAGUGAUCGAAAGAUGAAAAGCACUUUGGAAAGAGAGUCAAACAGCGCGUGAAAUUGUUGAAAGGGAAGCGCUUGUGGUCAGACUUGGCCGUCGUUGCUCGAGGGGAUCUCGUGUCCCUUUUGCUCUUCGGCGGCUGGGCCAGCAUCGACUCGGGCGGCUGGAUAAAGGCUGCGGGAAUGUGGCUCUCUCCGGGGAGUGUUAUAGCCCGUGGUGUAAUGCAGCCAGCCUGGGUCGAGGUCUGCGCAU
rnacentral:rRNA from 1 species